UUGCUAAAAGCGAUCGUUUACUCGUAAGGGCAAGUGGAUUGUCCGUCUCUCGCUCUACCGGAGAGUUUGACGAACUGCGAGCCUACUGGUGUUAUGGGGCCUCCCCGUAUUACGAGUGACGCAUUGGACCGUCGCAGAUAGCCAAACCUGUCUGAUUCAUUUUGGACGGGAGUGGCAUGUCUCCGUGGUCUUAAGUACAGGAUGCGCCGUCGUCCUCCUGUCCCUUUCGAUGCUGCUAGCCUCGUCGGUGAUCUCUCACCGCAGGGCAGGACCCGGCUCGUAUGUUUUCUUACGUAUGGGCUUAGCGGACCUAGCCUUGCACUGCUCUCUUAAGGUGUGAGAUGGGCCACAUUGCGGCUGUCGAUUUUGGGAUAUACGGCGCCCGCUGUGUAAUUCAUUUUACCGGCGCUAACCAUUUUUCAUAUCCGACCUCAGAUCGGGCGAGAUUACCCGCUGAACUUAAGCAA
rnacentral:rRNA from 1 species